rnacentral:rRNA from 1 species
AACGAACGCUGGCGGCAUGCCUAACACAUGCAAGUCGAACGAGACCUUCGGGUCUAGUGGCGCAAGGGUGCGUAACGCGUGGGAACCUGCCCUUAGGUUCGGAAUAACUCCCCGAAAGGGGUGCUAAUACCGGAUAAUGUCUUCGGACCAAAGAUUUAUCGACUUUGGGUGGGCCCGCGUGGGAUUAGCUAGUUGGUAGGGUAAAAGCCUACCAAGGCGACGAUCCAUAGCUGGUCUGAGAGGAUGAUCAGCCACACUGGGACUGAGACACGGCCCAGACUCCUACGGGAGGGAGCAGUGGGGAAUAUUAGACACUGGGCGCAAGCCUGAUCCAGCCAUGCCGCGUGAGUGAUGAAGGCCUUAGGGUUGUAAAGCUCUUUUACCCGGGACGAUAAUGACAGUACCGGGAGAAUAAGCUCCGGCUAACUACGUG